UGAAUUACAUUGAUCGUGACAU
rnacentral:miRNA from 1 species